rnacentral:rRNA from 1 species
AUGAACGCUGGCGGCGUGCCUAAUACAUGCAAGUCGAGCGAACGGACGAGAAGCUUGCUUCUCUGAUGUUAGCGGCGGACGGGUGAGUAACACGUGGAUAACCUACCUAUAAGACUGGGAUAACUUCGGGAAACCGUAGCUAAUACCGGAUAAUAUUUUGAACCGCAUGGUUCAAAAGUGAAAGACGGUCUUGCUGUCACUUAUAGAUGGAUCCGCGCUGCAUUAGCUAGUUGGUAAGGUAACGGCUUACCAAGGCAACGAUGCAUAGCCGACCUGAGAGGGUGAUCGGCCACACUGGAACUGAGACACGGUCCAGACUCCUACGGGAGGCAGCAGUAGGGAAUCUUCCGCAAUGGGCGAAAGCCUGACGGAGCAACGCCGCGUGAGUGAUGAAGGUCUUCGGAUCGUAAAACUCUGUUAUUAGGGAAGAACAUAUGUGUAAGUAACUGUGCACAUCUUGACGGUACCUAGUCAGAAAGCCACGGCUAACUACGUG